rnacentral:rRNA from 1 species
GAGUUUGAUCAUGGCUCAGGACGAACGCUGGCGGCGUGCUUAACACAUGCAAGUCGAACGAGAAUCUACUGAAAGAGUUUUCGGACAAUGGAAGUAGAGGAAAGUGGCGGACGGGUGAGUAACGCGUGAGGAACCUGCCGUUGAAGAGGGGGACAACAGUUGGAAACGACUGCUAAUACCGCAUGAUGCAUAAGGGUCGCAUGAUUCUUAUGCCAAAGAUUUAUCGCUUCAAGAUGGCCUCGCGUCUGAUUAGCUAGUUGGCGGGGUAAGGCCCACCAAGGCGACGAUCAGUAGCCGGACUGAGGUAGG